AUCACAAGCACGCGCAGAAGGUAGCCAAAUCCCUAGAUUCGUUCCCCACGCACGCUGCCUGGGGCUCCCGCCGGUCGACCCACACCGUCCCACCGCCGCCCCGACACCGCCCGGGGCUACCGCCGGUCGAUCUCGACGCCAUACCACGGCCGCCCCAUACCGCCAUGCCUCUACCGCGCCGCCCGACGCAGCCAUGCCUCUAAACGCCGCCGUGCCUCUAUAGCGCCGCUCCACGCCGUCCUGCCCCUUCAGCGCAGCCCAACGUCGUCCUGCAUCUCCACUGCCGGCCCAACGCCUUCCUGCUCUCUCUCCGGGUGGCCGCCUCUCUCCACGGCCACAUCUAGCACAGUUGCCGCCUUCCUCCCUGGCCCGACCUCCCCCAUGUCCACCACGAAAGCACACGCAGCGGUGGCGGCGAUUUGGAUCGGGGCAGCGUGCGGCUGGGCAAGGGCAUCGAUGCGGCUGAGGGAAAGGAGUACUCCGGCGGCGGGGAACGGGGAGCUCCGGCGGUGGGAAACGAGUAGAUGUUCCAGUGGACAAGGCACCUCAUGCUUUUAUUAUUCUCUGGUUCUCCGAUUUGCUGUGUACUGCUGCCAGCUAGUCUGAUUGUGAGAAGCUUUAUGGCAGCGAUAUGAACUAAUUUUAGAAGUUGAGCUGUUGUGUGCAAAUUUUGUUUAUUUCCAGUGCAAAUUUUGUGGUACCGAUAUGAACUAAUCUUUUUUUUCCAUUGGUCAUUUAGUUCACCUUUCACUAAGAGUCAUGUUUACGGUGUUACUCUUGUUAUGCUUCUGCCCAAGAUAAGUUAAUUUUUGCUCUUCCAAAAAGGUUCCCCGGAUAUGUUUCCUGUUUUGUGCUUAGUUUGCCAUGAUGUGUUUAGUCUGCCACCGUGUUUAGUGUCUCUUUGUGCUUGAUAAGAGGAUUGUUCAAAUGUAAAAACUUUCUUUUUACAUGAGAUGACAUGGCUUUUGCCCCCUGUUUUCGCUGACUUGGUUUCUGCAGGUAGCAUAGUGUAUAACUGCUGGUAACAUUGAGUCGUCAAGGAGAAGUAGCAGGAGGAAAAAUGGCAAGCGCAAGUGGAAGCGGAAAAGCUAAAGGUGGUGGGGGUCAUGGAGGAACAUCUGAAAGCGGUAAGAGGUACAAGUUUGAUGCCGCGCUGAUUGAUGCACAACUUAUGAAAAGAUGUGACAGUAGAAUUAGUGAAGCUGACUGGAAGAACCUUAUUACUUACUGGAGAUCUUCGGUAUUUGAAGCUGUCAAACUUGUCCAUCAGCCUCGAAGAGAUCAAGUUUAUAUCGAGACAAAUACAUGCAAGAAAGGGGAUAAGAAAGGGAGUUAUGUGCCGCAGGCAGAAGCAACAAUUAAAUAUCUCGUAGAGAAAGCUGAAAAGCGCACUGAAUGGAAGGAAAAAGCAUUCAAGAAGGUGAUCUGUUUGCACAUGUAUGUGGAAUGAAGGAGCCAAGGGGUCGUGUUCGUACUUCUGUAUGCAUGGACUGGUCAUGAAACUCCUGUUGCUCAGGCAACAAUUUCCAAAUUUGACCCGUAUUUGGUCAGGCAAGGUUCGCUUUUCCUUUAAUCAUGCAUAUUGAUUAUAAUAGUCUUAUGCUAUUUUAACCUUUGCACUGUGCUUUGUACAUAUAACUUAUACUAUGCGCAAAUAUAUUGUUUCCAUGUAAGAAAGUGUGAUGAAUAAAAAUAAGUCAAAAAAUAUAUACAAUGCCUUCUGAAUCUGAGCAAUAUCCCCACAAUUUUUUUUCUGUAUCACAAGAGACCACCAUGAUGAGUAUAUGUGUUCCAAUGAGCAGAUAGUGCUAGCUUAAUUUAUGAAUAAUGGAAAAAUAUAUUGAGGCUGUGAAGAAGGCUGCCAUCGAGACAAAGAGCGAGCACCCCAAGGAUUAAUGCGUGGCAUAGAAGGAAUGGCUAAAGGUACGCGCGCUUUUAAAAUUUCUAGAAGGGUACCCCUUUUCCUGUCAGUGGUAAUGAAUUCUCUUGAGUUGCUUUGAUGUUCAAGCUAGAGAAUGUUCUCCAAUGAGAUGAAGGAUGAAGGCUUUGAUGUCAAGUGCAAGAACGAUGCAACGAUCUUGCUGGAAGGCUGUGAGGAUGGGUAUGUAGUUGCCCACUACAAGGAGCCAAGGCAGAUGAUGUAUUGCAGAAAAAAAAGCGACAAACUUUUGCUCUCAGACAGUGAACUAUCAUGUUUCCUCUAUUUAAUUAGUUACAUUAGUUUAUUUAUAGGAAACUUGGCUGGCCAUUCGUUCAUAACUAUUGAACUAUUUAUAUGUGAAAAUUAAUGAAUGUGUGUGACUAUUGUUUGGUUC